rnacentral:rRNA from 1 species
GAUGAACGCUGGCGGCGUGCCUAAUACAUGCAAGUCGAGCGAACGGGCGCGAAUCGUUCUUCUCUUUUGUUAGCGGCGGACGGGUGAGUAACACGUGGAUAACCUACCUAUCAGACUUGGAUAACUUCGGGAAACCGGAGUUCAUGCCGUAUAAUAUUUUCACCCGCAUGGGGCAGGAGUGAAUGAUUGUCUUGCUGUCACUUAUAGAUGUAUCCGCGCUGCAUUAGCUAGUUGGUAAGCUAACGCCUUACCAGGGCAACGAUGGGUAGCCGAACGGAGAGACUGAUCGGCCACCUGGGAACGGAGACACGGUCCAUACUCCUACGGGAGGCAGCAGUAGGGAAUCUGCGGCAAUGGGCGAAAGCCUGACGGAGCAAGGCCGCGUGAGUGAUGAAGGUCUUGGGAUCGUAAAACUCUGUUAUUAGGGAAGAACAUAUGUGUAAGUAGCUGUACAGAUAUUGACGGUACCUAAACAGAAAGCCACGGCUAACUACGUG